CCUACGAGCAGUACUUCGGGCCGGGCACCAGGCUCACGGUCACAGAGUCUUACCAGCAAGGGGUCCUGUCUGCCACCAUCCUCUAUGAGAUCUUGCUAGGGAAGGCCACCUUGUAUGCCGUGCUGGUCAGUGCCCUCGUGCUGAUGGCCAUGGUCAAGAGAAAGGAUUCCAGAGGCUAGCUCCAAAACCAUCCCAGGUCAUUCUUCAUCCUCACCC
rnacentral:lncRNA from 1 species